rnacentral:lncRNA from 1 species
GUCAGAACCAGGGAUACGACAGGGUGAGAAGUACUUGCCUGGCCGUGGCUGGCUGUGAAGGGGGAAGGGAGCCAUGAGCCAAGGAACGUGGGCAGCCUCCUCGAGAAGCUGGACAAGGCAAGAAAACAGAUUCUCUUCCGGAGCCUCCAGGAAGGCACCCAGCCCUGCUGACAGCUUUGUCUGAGCUCAGCGAGACCCACAGCCGACUUCUGACCUCCAGAGCUAGAAGGCAAUACAUCUGUGUCGUUGAAGCCACUACGGUUUGGGUGAUUUGUCACAGCAGCCGUAGGAAAGUAAUACUGUGCAGAGCGUUGAUGCCGGGCGUCACAACUGAUGCAGGCGAAAACAUCUGGCUGCACGUAGAAUUCACUUUCAUUUUACAUUUGAGAAAACUGAACUCAAGGAUGUUAUAUAAUGGAAAUGAGUCACUCAGCUAGUCUGGGGUGGAGCCUGGGAUCCUGCAUUUAUAACAAGCUCCCGGGUGAUGCUGACGCUGCAGGUCCGUGGACCACAUUUGGAAUCGAUGCCUCUCAUCUCAUCUCCGC